CGAUGACGAAGCCGGCGACGUUGAUGGUGAUGAGCAGGAUCUCGUUGGUUUUGAUCAGCGCAUAGAAGAUCCACAGCAUCGCACUGAACAGAGCCACCACGUAGGGAACCGACUGGAAACCCUCCGUCGACUUGCUCUUGUAGAUGCGGUAGAACGUCGGGCUGCACAUACAAAAAUACAAUGAUCGCAAAUAUAUAUGGUUAAUUUCAAAACAUCAAUUUUAAACGCAUAGCAAUGUUAACUUGUUAAGCUCCUUUUAAAAAUAACUUGUUAAGCUAAUAUACGAAAUGAGAAUUUGGUGAGGCGGUACUUACAUUGGGGCCAGGAAGGUCAUGAAGGAGAUGAUGUUGCCUGCAACACAAAUAAUGGACGCCAAGGAUCAGACGUUUGCAAAAGCUGGCAAAGAGCCCAAAGCUGGGAUAAGAUGUGAUGAGGUGACAAGUUACAUGUCCGGUCUUAUUUGCCUUCUUUUGUGAGCAAAGAUUGGUGUGGCUUUAUUUUUAUUUUUCGCUAGAUGAGCUCUUGUGUUGUGGUGCACUAUGACGUCAACACUACUACACAGCAGUAGCAGCAGUGGCCUGACUACGUACGUCACCCAACUGGCAAGAUAGAUGCUUCAAAAGGACUGAUUGCUAGCUUAACAAGUAGUCUAUGAUAAGAAAUGUAUCGGCUAACAAAAGCAUCGGUCAAUCAUGGCAAAGGUGAUAAAAUCUAGUGAUGUAUGGCACUGGCACAAGUGAAUAUGAUCAGUUUAUGGCCACAUGAAGCUUCUCACUUUUGGAAAAUGUUUGGAAGCUGCGCAAGCUCACAACUACGUAUAAUUGAUUCAACGCGAUCACUGGAUCGGUGUGCAACUCCCACUAAGUAGCUUGUAUGUAGUAUCAUAGACUAGCAACUAUGAAAUGAUAAGAUGCUUCCUAAAACAAAUUUAUAGCAAUUUGUAAAGCGCAACCGAGUCGAAUAUAAUUGAAAGGAUGAGCGAUUCAUGGGCAUGCAAACUCUUGUUUUGUG
rnacentral:lncRNA from 1 species